GAUGAACGCUAGCGGCAGGCCUAAUACAUGCAAGUCGGACGGGAUCGGGGAGCUUGCUCCCCGUGAGAGUGGCGCACGGGUGCGUAACACGUAUGUAACCUACCUUUAUCAGGGGGAUAGCCUCUCGAAAGAGAGAUUAACACCGCAUAAAAUUAGUUUAUGGCAUCAUAAAUUGAUCAAAUAUUUAUAGGGUAAAGAUGGGCAUGCGGAACAUUAGCUAGUUGGUAAGGUAACGGCUUACCAAGGCGACGAUGUUUAGGGGGUCUGAGAGGAUGACCCCCCACACUGGUACUGAGAAACGGACCAGACUCCUACGGGAGGAAGCAGUAAGGAAUAUUGGUCAAUGGGCGCAAGCCUGAACCAGCCAUGCCGCGUGCAGGAAGACGGCCCUACGGGUUGUAAACUGCUUUUGUACGGGAAUAAACCCUGAUACGUGUAUCAGGCUGAAUGUACCGUAAGAAUAAGGAUCGGCUAACUCCGUGCCAGCAGCCGCCGUAA
rnacentral:rRNA from 1 species